rnacentral:rRNA from 1 species
AUUGAACGCUGGCGGAAUGCUUUACACAUGCAAGUCGAACGGCAGCACGGGUGCUUGCACCUGGUGGCGAGUGGCGAACGGGCGAGUAAUGCACCGGAACGUAUCCAAUACUAGGGGAUAACGCACCGAAAGGUGUGCUAAUACCGCAUACGCCCUGAGGGGGCAAGCGGGGGAUCGCAAGACCUCGCGCUACUGGAGCGGCCGAUGCCGGAUUAGCUAGUUGGUGGGGGAAAGGCCCACCAAGGCGACGCUCCGUAGAUGGUCUGAGAGGACGACCGGCCGCACGGGGACAGAGACACGGUCCAGACUCCGACGGGAGGCAGCAGUGUGGAAUUUUGGAAGAUGGGCGGAAGCCUGAUCCAGCCAUUCCACGUGAGGGGAGAAGGCCUUCGGGUUGUAAAGCUCUUUCGCAAGGAAAGAAAACUCAUUUCCUAAUACGAGAUGAGGAAGACGGUACCUUGACAAGAAGCACCGGCUAUCUACGUGCCAGCAGCCGCAGUAA